rnacentral:rRNA from 1 species
AUGAACGUCUCCUUCGCGCCUCACUCCUGCUGCUCCUCCUGUCGCUCGGGCAGCGUGCCGCCCGCGCCCGUCAUGUUUCUUGCCGCCUCGCCGGACGACCAUGGCGUCGCCACAGCCCGAGCGCUGCAUGCACCCUCCUGUAGCCGGCAGCCUCACACGCGACCGCGCCGUCGCGCGUGUCCUUCCCCGGCGAGCCUCCGGUCUUCCGCUCGCCUGCCUGCGGCCGUGGCUAUGGUCCCUUUCUCCCCGAGCUCCCUUGCCGUCUGGAUCUCUCUGCCCAGCCACCGCGCCUCCAACUCCGAUGCCUGUAGCUUUGGCUCCUCUCCUCUUCCCUGA